rnacentral:rRNA from 1 species
UACGUAGGGUGCGAGCGUUAAUCGGAAUUACUGGGCGUAAAGCGUGCGCAGGCGGUUCGCUAAGACAGAUGUGAAAUCCCCGGGCUCAACCUGGGAACUGCAUUUGUGACUGCAUCGCUGGAGUACGGCAGAGGGGGAUGGAAUUCCGCGUGUAGCAGUGAAAUGCGUAGAUAUGCGGAGGAACACCGAUGGCGAAGGCAAUCCCCUGGGCCUGUACUGACGCUCAUGCACGAAAGCGUGGGGAGCAAACAGG